GUUAAACAAGAAAGAAACAAAAGGCAUUGGUACCCACACUCUCAUCUCUAUGUUCACCGUCUGAAGGAGCGUGAAAAAUAAAAAAUGAAAAAAAAUGACUUCAAGAGUUGAAAAUAAUUAGAAUUUAUGAAACAUUUUCCAAACAUGCUUGUGAACUCAUCGUUACUCUGCAAUAUAAAUAGUGCAAAUGUUGCUUAAAAGAUGAAAUAAAGAUACCUUAAUUCUUAAAAUAUACUUCCUUUAAAAUACUACUGGGAUUUUUUCAUGAAAAAGGAAUUUCUUAAUAUAGCGGGAUGAUGUAUAUGAAGCGAGCGAAUAAAUGGAUAUUAUUAAACCAGGCCAGGAGAUGGGACACACACGGGUACACCUAUGUAAUUUUCAACAUAGAGAGUUCAUUCAUCCGACCCCUCACAAUUUGAAAGCAUGAUACAUUUAACCUCAUAAAAAGUAAGCAACUUAAACUUGAAAGAAGACGUGUUGCAUUGAUCACGUGACCUUGUCUGCCCUGCACAAUACAAGAAGUGGUUGCCGACCCAAGUCCGCCCGCACUAACAUUGUGUCAGAACGGUGGCGGGAUGUUCAUGUGAGAAGCACACUUGCUUGAAUAAGACCCUGGGAACCUACAUCUUUCUCCUUCUUGGUUUAAGGUUUCAUAGGACAUCAGGAAAGACACAAUGGCCAUUGAGGGCAAACAGAAGUCAACAGAUGGCCAUCCAUGGCUGGUCUACAUCUCAACAAUAUUUGCAUCUGUUCUGGCUCUUCUUCUAGGCUAUACUCUCGGUAUCAUCUCGGGGGCCAUGCUUCUCCUUGUUGACACGUUUCAACUCGAUACAUUGUGGCAGCAGCUCAUGGCCACAUUCGGCACAGUAGGAUGUGCAUUAGCACUUCUUCCUGCUGGCUACCUGGUCCAGCUUUUGGGAAGGAAGAGGAUGAUCAUUGGAUCAAAUACGUUGACUUGUAUUGGCGCCAUCGUAUCAGCAGCAGCACCAACGAAAGAGGUGGUUCUUGUUGGACGUUUAUUGGCUGGAAUGGGAGCAGGAACUAUAUCCCUCGUCGUGCCAAUGUACAUAUCGGAAUGUGCCCCCGUGGACAUCAGAGGGCGUCUGGGUAGUCUCACACAGGUCCUGAUUUCAAUUGGGGUGUUUCUGUCAUCAGUCGGGGCAGGCGCUCUCAGUGGACUAGGGGAAGCAGGAUGGAGGUGGAUGUUUGCAUGUCCCUGUGCUCUUGGCGUUGUGCUUUUUGUUGGAAGUCUCUUCCUCCCGGAGACUCCUCGGUGGUAUAUGGACAGAGGAAGAGAGGAAGAAGCUGUUUCUGUCCUCAAGCGACUGAGAAAUAACCCGGAUGAAAUCCAAAUAGAACUCAACGACAUAAGAAGAACUGUUGCGGAAGGGAAACGACUGAAACAUGAUAAAGAACAUGGUUCCUCUUUGAUUGGGAGGAUACUAACAACGCCUCCAGUCCGAAGAGCUCUGUUCCUGUCCAUGGUCUUGGCGAUGAUAACACAGGUGACAGGGGCGGCUCCCGUUAUGUACUACACGGGAACUAUACUCAAAAGAGGGGGGUUCGCAGUCACAGAUGCAAUAUGGAUGACAGCAAUACCAACUGCACUGCAGGCUGCAACAGCCUUCAUCAGCACGUGCUUGGUGGAGAGGAUGGGACGCAAACUUCUGUUUCUUGGCUCACAGAUAGGUCUGUUAAUUUCCUUGGUCAUUCUCGGACUUGGCUUCUUCCUCUCCUCGACUCAUUCCCCCGUCGUUAGUGAUGACAUUCAGAGUACCAUCAAUAACGCUACAACAGCUUCCAUGUGUAAUUUAAGAUACCAUCAUCCAACUAACUAAGUCGUCAACGGCAAGCCGCUUUGCAACAAUUGACGAGGGAAGCCUAGAUUCUAUUUCCUUGGAAGGGAGGCCAAAACACACCCAGGACUGCACAUUGGGGUGUUACGAUCUUUAAACAACAUGUGAGCAAUGCAUCGAGUCUUCACAAUGCGGCUUCUGCUACGACGUUCUCUCAAGAGCCACGUGUGUACCCGUGUCGGUAAACGGCAGUGCUACAACA
rnacentral:misc_RNA from 1 species